rnacentral:rRNA from 1 species
CCUACGGGAGGCAGCAGUGAGGAAUAUUGGUCAAUGGCCGUAAGGCUGAACCAGCCCAGUCGCGUGCAGGAAGAAGGAUCUAUGGUUUGUAAACUUCUUUUAUAGGGGAAUAAAGGUAUCCACGUGUGGAUUUUUGCAUGUACCCUCUGAAUAAGCAUCGGCUAACUCCGUGCCAGCAGCCGCGGUACUACGGAGGAUGCGAGCGUUAUCCGGAUUGAUUGGGUUUAAAGGGUGCGUAGGUUGUUUUUUAAGUCAGCGGUGAAAGUUUGUGGCUCAACCAUAACAUUGCAGUUGAAACUGGAAGACUUGAGUGUGUUUGAGGUAGGCGGAAUGCGUGGUGUAGCGGUGAAAUGCAUAGAUAUCACGCAGAACUCCGAUGGCGAAGGCAGCUUACUAGGCCAUAACUGACACUGAAGCACGAAAGCGUGGGGAUCAAACAGGAUUAGAUACCCGAGUAGUC